UCCUUCAUAGCUAAGUCAGUAAAGAAUCUGCCUGUAAUGCAGGAGGCCUGGGUUUGAUCCCUGGGGUGGGAA
rfam:TPA: Bos taurus chromosome 1, whole genome shotgun sequence.